GACGAACGCUGGCGGCGUGCCUAAUACAUGCAAGUAGAACGCACAGUUUAUACCGUAGCUUGCUACACCAUAGACUGUGAGUUGCGAACGGGUGAGUAACGCGUAGGUAACCUGCCUGGUAGCGGGGGAUAACUAUUGGAAACGAUAGCUAAUACCGCAUAAUAUUAAUUAUUGCAUGAUAAUUAAUUGAAAGGUGCAAUUGCACCACUACCAGGUGGACCUGCGUUGUAUUAGCUAGUAGGUGAGGUAACGGCUCACCUAGGCGACGAUACAUAGCCGACCUGAGAGGGGGAUCGGCCACACUGGGACUGAGACACGGCCCAGACUCCUACGGGAGGCAGCAGUAGGGAAUCUUCGGCAAUGGACGAAAGUCUGACCGAGCAACGCCGCGUGAGUGAAGAAGGUUUUCGGAUCGUAAAGCUCUGUUGUAAGAGAAGAACGGGUGUGAGAGUGGAAAGUUCACACUGUGACGGUAUCUUACCAGAAAGGGACGGCUAACUACGUG
rnacentral:rRNA from 1 species